GCAGCUGCUUUGGAAAACAGUCUGGCAGCUCCUCAGAAGGUUCAGCUUGGACUUGCCACAGACCCCGAGGUCCUACCACUGACCUGUUCCUGGGAGAACGGAAAGAUCAUGUCCUUCCUCACAGAGAUUAGCAGGACAACCCUGCUGCCAUGGAUAUGAGGUCUCCCAAGUUCUGGUGCAGCCACAUGGCCAGUGUUGAUGCCAGUCCCACCUGAUGCCUGCUGUGAGGGUCCAGAGAUACCCCUCAUCCCAGUUCAGUGGGGGUACUGGGCCCCGAGUGGCGACCACCUGCUUUCAUCACUACCAUCCCUCCUUUAUUUGACCUUUCCUGCUAAGUGGCUCGGAAACUCUAGAUUUUCCUAAAAUGAGGACCUAGAGUGAAAUCAUUUUGAGAAAAGGGAAGCACCUGAACGGACUGUGGGAUCUGGAUGGGAUCCUGGGACAGAAGAAGGACACUCAUGGAAAACCCAGUGGCAUCUGGAUAAAGUAUAGCAUUUGUCGUCAUGUACCAAUGUUGGUUUCUUAGUUGUGACAAACAUACUGUGGUGAUGGACAUCAGAGGCUGGCAAACGAGACAGGUGGCCAAGUCCAGCCUACAUUGUCCUGUUUUUAAAAAUUAAUAAAUUAGGACUUCCCGUCGUGCCUCAGUGGUUAACGAACCUGACUAGUAUCCAUGAGGACACAGGUUUCACCCCUGGCCUUGCUCAGUGGGUUAAGGAUCCAGCAUUGCCGUGAGCUGUGGUGUAGGUCGCAGACGCAGCUUGGAUCUGGUGUUGCUGUGGCUGUGGUGUAGGCCGGUGGCUACAGCUCAGAUUCGACCCCUAGCCUGGGAACCUUCAUAUGCUGCGGGCACAGCCAUGAAGAGACAAAAAAGACAAAUUAAUAAAUUAGGUAUUUAAAUUAUAAUUAAUUACUUUUAAUUGUUUAAGAUGUACACAAUAUAAAAUUUACCAUCUUAAUUUUUAAGAGCACAGCUCAGUGGUAUUUAGCACAUUCAUGUUGUGCAACCAUUCCCACCAUCCAUCUUCAGAACUUUCCCUUCUUUCCAAAUUGAAACCCUGUCCCCAUGAAACACUGACUCCCCUCCCCCUCCUGCGGCCCCCGCCCCACCAUCUCCUUCUUGUCUCUGGAUCUGACUCCUCUAGGGACCUCCUGGGGGUGGAAUCAGACUGUAUUUGUUCUUCUGUAUUCAGAUCCUCUCACUGAGUAUCACGUACUCAGGGUCCAUCCAUGUUGCAGCAGGUGUCAGAAUCUCCUUCCUUUUUGUUGUUGUUGUUGUUUCUUUUUCUUUUUAGGGCCGCACCCGUGGCAUAUGGAGGUUCCCAGGCUAGGGGUCUAAUAGGAGCUACAGCUGCCAGCCACAGCCACAGCAACACCAGAUUGGAGCCGUGUCUGUGACCUACACCACAGCUCACGGCAACGCCGGAUCCUUAACUCACUAAGCGAGGCCUGGAAUCGAACCCAAAACCUCAUGAUUCCUAGUCGGAUUCGUUUCUGUUGCACCAUGAUGGGAAUUCCUGUUGGGAGUUUUUUUGGUCACACCUGUGGCAUGCAGGAGUUUCCAGGCCAGGGAUCGAAAACAUGCCCCAGCUAUUGUCAGAGCCACAGUAAUGACAAUGCUGGAUCCUUAACCCUCUGAGGGAACGCCCAGAAUUUUGUCCCUUUUUAAGGCUGGGUAAUAUUCCACUGUAUUGAUGGGCCACAUUUGUUUAUCCUUCAUCUGUUUUUAUACAGCUUGGGAGCUAAGAAUGCGUUUUACAUUUUUAAAGGGUUGGGAAAAACAAACAGGAAUAUGCAGCAAAGGACUGAUAGCCCACAAAGCCUGAAUAGUAACUGUCUGGUCCUUUACAGAAAAGUUGGUGGGAAUGUAAAUUGGUGCAGCCACUAUGGAGAACAGCAUGGAGGUUCCUUGAAAAACUAAAAAGAGUUACCAUAUGAUUUGGCAGUCUCAGUCCUAGGCGUAUAUCUGGAGAAAACUAUAAUUUGAAAAGAUACAUGCACGCCAGUAUUUAUUGCAGCACUAUUUACAAUAGCCAAGACAUGGAAACUACCUAACUGUCCAUCAGCAGAUGAAAUGGAUAAAGAAGGUGUGGUACAUAUAUACAAUGGAAUAUUCAGCCAUAAAAAGGUUGAAAUAAUGCCAUUUGCAGCAACAUGGAUGGACCUAGAAAUGAUCAUACUAUGUGAAGUUAGACAAAUAUCAUAUGAUAGCACUUAUAUGUGGAAUCUAUGGCACAAAUGAACUUGUGUAACAAACAGGAACAGACUCACAGACAGAAAACAAACUAUGGUUACUGAAAGGGAAAGGGGAGGGAGGAUAAGUUAGGAGUUUGGAAUUAAUAGAGACACACUACUAUAUAUAAAAUAGAUAGCCAACAAGGACCUACUGUAUAUAGCACAGGGAACUCUACUCAAUAUUUUGUAAUACCUUAUAAGAGAAAAGAAUCUGGAAAAAUAUAUAUAUGUGUAUCUGAAUCACUUUGCAAUACACCGGAAGCUAACACAACAUUGUAAAUCAACUAUAGUUUAAUUUUGAAAAACAUAUUUAUUAUCUCAUAGUCUCUGUGGAUCAGGAAUCUGGAUGUGGUUGAGCUGAGAUCUCCACUCAGGGUCUCUCACUGGUUUGGAAUCAAGGUGUUGGCCAGGGCUGGGGUCUCAUAAGAAAGCUCAACUGGGGAAAUUGCUGCUUCCAAGUUCAGAUGGUUGUAGGCAGGAUUUAGUUCCUUUGGGGCCAGCCCGCUCCUCCCAGAUCCACCACGCUCCCCAGGCUGUGCCCUUGGCACCGACUGGACUCUGCAAAAUCUGUAGAACUCGGGAGGACCGCCUGCAGGCCAGCUGUGAAAGCAGUUUGAAGGCCAUGGUGAGCAGAACACAUGUGCUUCCUACAGUUUGGGAUCUCGCCUCUCCUGGGGGAGACCUGGCUUUGAACCAUAUGAUGCUGAUGGGCUCGGGGUGUCUUCAGAGGCGAUGACAAUGUCCUGGGGUUAGUGUGGUGGUUGCACAACCUUGUGAGUAUCCUAAAAGCCACGGAACUGCAUGCUUUAAAAGAGUGAAUUUAUAGUAUGUGAAUUCUGUCUUAAUUUUUUAAAAAUGAAAAAGAAAGCAUGUGACAAGGUGAGGCUCCCAAGCUGUAGGAAGUGUUGCCUGUGACAAGAGUGAGCUCUCGUCCUUUCCACGAGGGCCUCUGUUCGCCACCGUUGUAAGUUCUGCCUGUUUUCCCUGUGAUUUGUUUCUCCCUCACACUGAGCACUUUGCACAUGGUGUCUUCGUUUUCUGUGUCUGAGAUUUCCGACCCUGUCUCAUGGGCAGUUCCUAAGGGCAGAGGGUGUGUGGUCCACAGGCCCUGCUCUAGGCAGGCCCCUGCCUCCCAGGGUUCUGCUGUUACUGUUUUGAAAUUUGUAAUAAUUUUUGGUCAAAAGGUCCCCCAGUUUCAUUUUGCCAUCAGCUCUACAAACUCUGUAGCAGAUCCUGCUGAUGGAUCCCACCUCCCUUCAUGGGGGCUUGAGGUUCACCCUGAUGGGAAAGUGACAGCCCAGCGUCUUUUUCGGAUGAAGGACACAGGGACAGCCUGGCGCCAGCUGGCACACCUCGCAACCUGCUGUCCUGUGAGCCCCCGGAGAUGGAGCUGCAGGGACGAGUUUUGUCCUCUCUGCUCUGGCCCAAGCUGGUCUGGGCUGAGCACAGCCGGAGUGGGGGCUCUGUGGCAGUCACCUCAAUGCCCAAGUCCAGCUCCAAGGACUAGAGAACAGCCAGCAGCUGGCGUUAAAGUGCUGGGGCCGGGAGAUUUGCAGAUGGUAGAUGUGAGGCAGCAAGAGAGAAAACAUCUCAAAAAUGAUUCAUAAGUUACCCGUGUUCACAGCAGCAUGAUUCACAGUAGCCAGAAGUGGAAACAGCCCAAAUGCUCAUCAGUAGUAAAAGGAAGAACUCAGUGUGGUCCCUCCACACACCGGAGCAUCACUUGGCCACAAAAAGGAGAGAAGCACCGACACUCACUACUACAUGGAUAGACCUUGGGACCAUGUUGCUCAGUGAGAAGAGCAGACACAGAAGGACACACAGUGUGGGAUUCCAUGGAACAGGCACGUCCACAGAGAGUGGAUUCCUGGUUGUCAGAGGCUGGGGGAAGGAGAUGGGAGGAAUGGUAAUGGGGAUGAGUUCUCCUCUUGGGGUUGCACAAAGUUGGUGAUGGUCACACAACUUUGUGAAUAUACAGAAGAAAAAAAAAAA
ensembl:lncRNA